CCUACGGGAGGCAGCAGUGGGGAAUAUUGCACAAUGGGCGAAACCCUGAUGCAGCGACGCCGCGUGAGUGAAGAAGUAUUUCGGUACGUAAAGCCCUAUUAGUAGGGAAGAAAAAAAGUCCUUUGGACUUUGGACGGUACCUGACUAAGAAGCCCCGGCUAACUACGUGCCAGCAGCCGCGGUAAUACGUAGGGGGCAAGCGUUAUCCGGAUUUACUGGGUGUAAAGGGAGCGUAGACGGCAGCGCAAGCCUGGAGUGAAAUGCCGGGGCCCAACCCCGGAACUGCUUUGGAAACUGUGCAGCUGGAGUGCAGGAGAGGUAAGCGGAAUUCCUAGUGUAGCGGUGAAAUGCGUAGAUAUUAGGAAGAACACCAGUGGCGAAGGCGGCUUACUGGACUGUAACUGACGUUGAGGCUCGAAAGCGUGGGGAGCAAACAGGAUUAGAUACCCGGGUAGUC
rnacentral:rRNA from 1 species